AAAAGGCCGUAACUGCUCGCCGCCUUUCUCUGCCCCGUAAAAGGCCGUAACUGCUCGCCGCCUUUCUCCCCUGGUGAGUCGUGACUGAACCGCAACUUCCCCCCGCGCCGACCUGCUCCGGCGAGUUAGGCAUGACCGUCCUCCCCCGCGGCACCUUCGCCGCAGCCAUGACUGCUGGCCCCUCCUCGGCGCUGCUCGCCACCACCUUCCGCGCUCCCAUGGCCGCCUUCUGCCUCGCGCUGCGCCGCAGCGCCGCUUGUAUGUGGCCCGCGCGUCGGCCCAGCCGCUCGAGGUCUGCGCUAAGGAGUCCAUCACCGUCCUUGGCUUCCUCGGAGACUGUAAGCUCUCUCUCUCUCGCGCGCUGGCUAAAUGUAGUCCAUAGAAUGCAAGGUGAACUGACAACAAUGCUGGUUGCGUCGCCAGCUAUUUGGAUGAGGGGAGAGUUUUCUCGAUUUAAUUUGCUGCAUUAAGAGUGCAACUUCAAAUGCUAGAUUUAUUUCACAUUUAGAGUGUAUUGGUAUUUGAUUUUCGUGUUGGUAUCAUGAUCCGUAUGUGGUUUAUGAAGACACGUGAAAAAAAAACAUAAUAACCUGAAAUUGCAUGAGAUGAGAUGUGCAGCAUUAGACAUGUCUGCCACCUGGAUGUAGUUAUUUUAGCACAUAGUUUAGUCCUGCAAUCUGCACCAAGCCACUUCUGUGGUAAACAGUGUUUGACUUUAGUGCACUUGUUUUAUCCAUCAUCUUGGUGACAAUACAAACCGUGUCUAUUCUCUGGAUCAUGUAGCCAACAACAAUGCUUGGCGAAGGUUGGGUGAUUGGUAUUUUCAGUAUUUUUUUGGUGAAGUCUAUUAUUAUGUACUCCCUCCGUUCUUUUUUAUUUGUUGUGUUUUAGUUCAAAACUAAACUAGCGGGCCACAAAUAUUCGAGAACGGAGGUAGUAGUACAAUAUAUUAAGAGAUGUACAUGUCGAGGUUAUCUUUGGAGUGAAAUCUCUUGCUUGAUUAAAAUUUUGUCGCCUGCCCUACACCUCUUUUAAGUUUUAUUGGGGACUAUAUAAUUUGUUAAUGCCUUAAUGACAAAAAAUGAUUCUGGGCUCAAGAUACGAUGCUUUCCUGGUUUCUAUAUGCUUAAGAGCAAGUAUAAUAAGUUGAUAUAGGUGGGCUGUGAGCGAUGUCACAUCGGAUUUGUGGUGACAUGAAAGAAAGAUAAAUAGAGAUAAGAGAAGUAGGUUGUCCACUAAUAGCCAGCUAAAAGUGGGUUGUUCAUGGACUUCAAGGCACUUUGUGAGAGACAGAGAUAGACCAAAUAUUAAAUGUACAACUUGUAUCUUCACCACAUUGUAUGAGACCAAAUAUUAAAUUGAUGAGAUGGUAGCUGUGGCAGAACCUCCCAAGUAAUCGGGCCCACAUGCACCUGUCCUCGUCUCAAAGACCUCAGACGGCUAUGCAUGUGCAUCAGAUAACUUAACAGGAUUUGUCCGAGUGUUUUAGGGACCCCGGAUAAACCACUUAUAACUAGGAUCACAAGAUUAAGUAAACACAAUUCACACACCAACACAUGCAGCGGAAUUUCUUUAUUACAAUAAGGUUACAAUUUAGUACAAGAUUACAUUAUACAUAUCGGGGUGAUUACAAAAAAAUGAUUCAAAGGAUUACCCUUUGAAAUGUUAUAAAAUAUUUGUAAGUUUGAAAUACAUGCUAACUUAAGUUACCAUCCUCAAUAAGAAGUAUAGAAGAGCUACUUAGACCUAUAAGAAGGCCGUGCCCACCGGCGGCCGGCGCUUAGCACCAUCCAUAGCAGCACACGAUCAAUACCUGCAACGGUGGGUUCAAAGAACCCUGAGUACGAAGGUACUUUUGCAAGUCUUACCCGACAAAAGAAAAAACUCUUAAGGAUAUGUUGGCUUAAAGGGAUUCAAGGUAAAGCUCAUCAAGUUUCAAAGACUCUUUUUGCAGAAAAGCUUACUAGAAGUGGAUCCUUAAGGCAAACUUUUACUUAGCAAGUUGAGUUCUUUCCUGAUUCUAGAUUUGCCUAAUCUAGAGCAUUCACUUGUCCUAUACUAGCUUCCUUUUACCAAAUUCUUGUUCCACUUAUUAACUACGAUGCAGGUCCCGAGAAGUAACGGCGAUCCGAAUCGAUUAAUACCCAGCUGGGGAUCUCCAACCACACGACAUAUGUAGCACUUAACCCUUGCAUAUGUCAACUCGCACUCGGGUUUCUCAAUACCAGAAUGGGUUCACGCCACCUGAGAGCACAUAUACUCCACCGUCCAGCCUCUUGCCGCGGAGGGUAAACGCUACUCUCGCCAUCUCUCCACUCACAUUGCGUGUGAAAGGAUCACGAUGCCCAAGAGGGGGGGGGGUGAAUUGGGCUUUUCUAAAAAUCAACACAAAUUAAAACCUAAGCAAGAGCUAAGCAAGAUCCCAACUUCACCCCAACAACUAGCACUAAGAAUAUAAUACUAGAAAUGCAACAAAGCUAAGACAAUACUUCAAAUACUUGCUAAACAAAUACACAAUGUAAAGUGCUUGAAUUAAGUGCGGAAUGUAAAGCAAAGUUUAGAAGACUCCUCCAAUUUUUCCCGAGGUAUCGAAGAGUCGGCACUCUCCACUAGUCCUCGUUGGAGCACCCGCGCAAGGGUAUUGCUCCCCCUUGGUCCUCGCAAGAACCAAGUGCUCACUACGAGAUGAUCCUUUGCCACUCCGGCGCGGUGGAUCCCUCGAGACCGCUUACAAACUUGAGUCGGGUCACCAACAAGAUCUUCACGGUGAUCACCGAGCUCCCAACGCCACCAAGCCGUCUAGGUGAUGCCGAUCACCAAGAGUAACAAGCCGUAGACUUUCGCUUGACCAAGAGAAGCCUAAUGCAAGUGGUGUGUGCUCUAGGUGGCUCUCACUAGCGCUAAUGAGGAACAAACGCGGAUUAUGAUUCUCUAAUCUCCUCACAAGGCUUUUGGUGCUUGCAAUGCUCUAGCAAUGUGCUGCAAUAAAUGUGGGGUGCAAGACAUUGAAUAUGGUGGGUGGAGGGGGUAUAAAUAGCCCUCACCCACCAACUAGCCGUUACAGGCAUUUCACUGCGCAAUGGCGCACCGGACAGUCCGGUGCGCCACCGGUGCGCCACCGGUGCGCCACCGGUGUGCCAACGGUCGUUUCCAACGGCUAGUUCUGACAGCUAGCCGUUGGACUCAUGGCGCACCGGACAGUGAACAGUUCACUGUCCGGUGCACACCGGACAGUCCGGUGUGCCACUAAAAUUCAACUCUGAAAGCUGCGCUCUCGGGUUUCUGCGAAGGGAAAUCCUCUGCCGCGGACCAGCCUGGCCCCACCUGGCAGAGGGUGCACCGGACAGUCCGGUGCCCCAAAGCCAGAAACACUAACUCUUGUUUUUCAGCUGAUUUUCGAAUCGGUUUUCGUUCUAACUUGUGUGUGAGCUCUAGAGUGACACCUAGCACUGUGUAUGUGUGUGAUUGUGCACCAACACUACACUAGAACUCUCUUGGUCAAACUACUCAUCGACAACCCCUUUUUAUAGUACGGCUAAAAGAGAAUAAAAGACCUAACUAAAUCGCGAGUGUCCACAUCUCCUUGACACUCGGACUCCGUAGAUCUUCACCUUUUGUUUCGUCGUUUUAGUCGUCGCUUCGAGUUCUUAUCUCCGGGAUUGUUUUCACCGUUGUAGUACUUCUACCUGUCAUGCGACCUAACUUACCAUUUGUCUCUGCAAAACACACGUUAGUCACAUAUAAUAUUACGUUGUCAUUAAUCACUAAAACCAACCAGGGGCCUAGAUGCUUUCAAUCUCCCCCUUUUUGGUGAUUGAUGACAACCCUACAAGUUUUGUGAGAGUAGUUUGUUUUGAAGUUUCUGUCAAUAGAAAGAAUGGUUAGUUAUACUCAGUAAUCUUUGACAGAAAGAACGUGUACCAUAAUAAUAAGAGUGAGCGCAUACACAUCAUCAGAUUCUUGUUCAUAUAAAAGUGAAGUUAAGUCAAUGAAACAAGAACUGGAGGACUGGUGAUAAAAUAUAAGGUGAAAACAUAAUACACACAGUCAAUCAUAAGCAGCGAGAGUAUAUGACGAGUUUGUGAGCCAAAAACAUCAAGCUAGUACAGAGAGUAGCAAGCACAUAUAUUACAUCAAAAGGACUCUCUACUAACUCUCUAACUCCCCCUAGCUCUCACAACUCAUAUCUCUCCCCCUUUGGCGUCAAACACCAAAAGGGACCUGAACCUAAACACCUGAAGCAGGAGGAGGCGGCGGGGGCGCAUCCGGUCGCGGUCGAGGCAGCAUAGCGAAUGCCGGCGGCGGGUCAGAGUCAGUCUUGGAUCCAGGAUCUGCGGUAGAAGCUGGAGCUGGUACUGACUCGGACUGAGGCCGCACUGCAGGAGCUACCGGAACAAGAGCGGUCAUAGAUACUGCCACAACAGUAGUGGUAACAGCAGAUGCUGGUGGCACUGGCGGCUGCGGGCAGACAGAGCUGAGAACCGGAGAGGGGAACGCCAAAGUGACCGGCCGGAGCGGAGAGGUACCAACAGGGGGUCCUGACAAAAUCGAUGGCACCACUGGAGCGUGAAGCGGAGGAGGUGGAGCAGACUGAACUGGAGGUACUGAGAUACCAGAAUGCUGAAGCAUAAGAGCCAUGAAUGCCCUAGUCUCAGCCCGAUCCUGAAGUAGCUGCUGCUGAAGGGCAUCCUGCCUGUCCUGCAUGUUCUGAAACAUCGAGAGCAUCCUCUCGGAUAACCGGGCCUGCUCGGCCGCCAGGUUGGCCAGAAUCGUAGCAAGAGCAGAGUCCAUAGCCUGAGGAGGAGCAGGGGCAACACUAGAACUCCCAGCCUCAUGAUCAUGUGAGCGUGGAGGCAUAGGAGGCGGAGGCGGAGGAGGAACCCCAAAAUCAUCAUCAUCAUCAUCAUCAUCAUCAUCAGCUGCUGUACCCUGAGUGUCAAACUGUCGAAGAGCUGCAUCCUCGGCCUGAGAGUCAAACACAGAAGCAGAAGCUGGCACAGGAAUCUCAGGCGCAGGACGGUAGGAUCCAAAAACGAGGCGUGAGGCCUCAAGGGUGCUCUGAAAUCGAGGGGGCUGAAUCAGCUGCGCAAAUAUGUGGCACAAGUAGUGAGCAUAAGGCAACUGCCGACGAGCACGAAUCCCAUCUAGAACGGUGUCCUCGAUCUCACAAAUCAGGAAGUCCACAACGUCAAACUCAGAGUGGGAGACCAGGGCACCAAGGAGCCAAAGCUGAAUGUGAGUGGUAGCCUCCCUGUAUCCCAUCCUCGGCAGAAGAGUCCGUCUGAUGAGCUCAUAUAGGUACUUUGCUGCUGUAGUAAAGUCUGCCGGUGAACGUCGCGACCCAUCUGUGAAGGGCGGGCGGAACAGAGCCGCGACGUGAGCUGUACCCGGAGCCACACCGCCGUGAGGGCGACGAGGAGGGUCAGAAGUGCCGUAGCAGAGACUGUGAAGGCGAGUCGUCGACUCAGGGAAUCCAAAUAGCUGUCGGAUCUGACUGGCAGUAAUUGUGACAUCCUCACGCUCAAAGCGGAACCUCAUCCAGUGAUGAUCCGGGUCUAUCCAAACAGAGGCGUAAAAGACACAGACCCACUCCUCAACAUACCUGCCGCUGAUAGUCAGAAGGGUCUGAAGGCCAGGCAGAUAGGUGAGGUGCGCCUCAGAGUCAGCACCGGCUGCAAGCAGAAAGACUGGAAGAUCCAAAAGUCGGUGCACUCGCAGAGCUAUCUGAGCAGACAUCUGAGCUCUGAAAAACGACUCCUGAAUACGAGUGCUGAAAAGCUCACUUGCUGCAGGGUCUCUCUGAGCUGGUAGCCAAGACUCCACGGGUACGUAUCUGAACCUACGUACACAUGCCGCUGUAGCACGCUGAAGGUCAAACAGACGAGGAUCCGAAACCAGAGGACGAACCUCAGUCUCAUCACGCUCCCGGAAACGAGGUGGAGGGACAGGAGGAGCUGAUGCGGGAGCGGGAGUAGGAGGAGCAGUGGAAGCUGGCGUAGUGGAGGUAGCGGGUAUGGCUGUGGAGGUGGAUGGAGCAAUAGGAGUGACGGGAGCAGGCAGAGUGGGAGGCGGAGUGGAAGCGGAGGUGUGGGAGGAGGAGCGAGGCCGGGAGGUGAGACGACGAACACGGAAUGCAAUCUGAUCGGAUGGAGUCUGCGGCUGAUCUCCAAGCGCGGCCUGCGCAGCGGCUGCUGCAGCUGCUGCCGCUGCACGGGCUUCUCUGUCCGUACGCCGCUUCUUGCGGCCUUCCUGCUGCUCCAAGUAAACAGACUUGCCCUUGACCUGCCUGAAGGGGCGACGAGGAUCCUCAUCAUCGCCUCCCCCUGGCGCCGACGCAUUCUUCGUGCGCGGCAUCCUGAACUGAUGUCUGGAAAGCUCACACGAGAGGUGACGAUCCAGGCAGGACGGGAGACGGCACACGGGCAACCAAGGUCACUGAAAUGACAGAAGAGGUGAGCACGUAUUAGUCACAUAGUCAUAAGUAUAUGAAAUGUGAAUAAAUACAUACACAAGAGAAAUAUGGCACAUGAAACACAAGAUGAGGCGAUCGAGAAGUCAAACGACGUGAAAACGACGUUUGAAGGAUAAAUAGUGCCAUAGAAGGUUUGGAAUUCGAAUUGAGGCACGAAACGAUAUGGAAUUGAGCCGAAACUUCACGAAUAGGUUUAUAUAGGUGAAUAUGAGUGAAGUGUGUGCUUGGUUUGAAUUUAGGCGAAGAAAAAGGGAUUAGGGCACUCGGCUCGGAAACGAUCGCUCGAAACGGGGAAUUUAGUGAAAUUGAAGCCUGGAAACUCGGAUUUGCGUGAAAUUUGGCAAGAGUGUUACUGGAAGUGUUGUGAAGGUGCCUGAAAAAUUUGGGUUCAAUUGGAGCAUUUUUGGCUGGUUUGGGCAUUUUACCGAACACGUGGUGUGCGAGGAACUAGGGUUUCGGUGAAACGGCUAUUUGAGGUGGGAAAACCCUCCCGAAGGAGCUAAAAGCCUACAGGGAUACACAAAAGGGACAAUUGAAUACAUUCCACCAACUGGAUUCACAAGAUUUCACAGGAAUUUGAAGAAAAUCACAAGAGGUGAAAAGGGUGGUUACUGUAACACAGCAGGGAAAGAGACAGAGGGAAAGAGACAGAUGAAUGGGCUGCUCACCGAGAGGGAGAAGGCGAGCCCGGGCACACGAUCGCCGGAGCACGGUGGUCGCCGGAGAGGGGAGGUCGCCGGCGGGCGCUGGGAAUCUUUGGUCAUGCUACUGGGUCUGUUACAGACAAUCCUCCCCGAAUAUCUGACACCCAUUGACGAUUUGUGAGCCCCUCAGCUACUGUUCUUCGCUUUAAAGCCCUUCUAGAAAUCACUUGGAUAAGGGUUGGACAGUGUUCAGCCACAGUUUUACCAAGGAGCCAACGAUCAGACCAGAACUUCACAGAUUCACCACUGCCUACCACUGAGGUAAUAGCCACAUCAACAAGGGCCUUUGCAUUACGGUGCACUCGGAUAGGGAGACCAGCCCAUGGCCUUGACGCAUCAGUCUUUUGUAACCAAAGCCACCUGGCACGUAGGGCCCAUCCAAACAUCUCCAGGUUGAGAAUACCCAGACCACCAUACUUGAGAGGCCGCUGGACAGCUUCCCAGGACACGAGACACUUACCUCCAUUUGCAUCACCUUGCCCCUUCCAAAGAAAGCCUCGUCUCCUCUUAUCGAUUGCCUUAAAAACCCAUUUAGGGAGUUCUAAAGCAAGCAUAAGAUAGAUAGGGACAGAAGACAACACUGUCUUAACCAUGACAAGACGACCAGCCCGGCUGAGAAGAUUAGCUUUCCAUCCUGGAAGUUUAUCAGCAACUUUAUCAACAAGCGGCAGGAGAUCAGAGUUAGCAAGCCUACAGAUUGAUAGAGGAAUCCCCAAGUAAGUGCAGGGAAAUUUUUUUGUAGCACAUGGUAAUAAGGCAGAAAUGGUGGUCAGCUCAUUCGCUCCACAUUGAAUGGGUGUAACAGAACUUUUGGAGAUGUUCGUUUUUAACCCAGUAGCAUGACCAAAGAUGUUUCACAUCAUUCUUUUUGAAAACAACUUUUAAUCUUAUAAGCAGGGCUAAGCAUCAUUAAUUCUCUUUAUAAAAGAGGUAUCAAGAAAUGGUAAUCAAUUUUCCAAGGAAGGAAAUGCAUCAAAUAUUUAUCACCCAACUCCUAUCACCUAAUGCAUCAUAUAAGGUGAUAAAUGUUUUGAAAAUAACAAGGAAAGGGUAAAUGCACUAGGGCUUGCCUGGGAUAACACUAGUUAGUGUUUUUUAGACGAUGUCCGCUUGACGACUAUCUCUCGUCUUGACACUGGUUCAGUCCGUCCAUUUUUCCAGUUCACCGGCCGACAUCGUCUCGUGGUCUGCGCUGGUCCACAUCCUUUGCUUCGUACGAUUCUCAUCUAGCGUACCUAAUGAGAUGCAUGGUGCACAUGAAUGGAUAUAAACAGGAAUGUCACAAGGCUAAAUAAUGCUACACCAUAGCGAAUUAAACACUUAGCGGCGAGACACAUAAUAACACUUAAAAGCAUAUACUAGAUGUUGAGAUAUUUCUAAGGGUGUGUUUGGUUUGACUUUUGGCUUUGACUUUUGACCUAUAAAAGCCAAAAGCCAACCAAAGGGCUGGAUCGAGGAAGCAGCUUUUUCUAAAAGCCGACUUUCUCGCAGUGCAAAUCUGAAAGCACCCAUGUACCUGCUUUUAGUGGCUUUUCGGAUGGAACUGUGAAAACAUAUAUCGAAGAACUUUUAACGACUUUUAGUGGUUUCCACCAUACGGUUUUUAGUUUUUUAAUAGCUCACAGCCUACAGCAGUUUUAUCAACAGCUCACAGCCCACAACAACUUUUUUCACAGCCACAGCCCAACCAAACAGACCCUAAGUACAUCGUUCAUGUUAUUUUAACUUAACCAAAUUCAAUUUAAACAACAAAUUACUGAUGGGAGGACGCUGGAGCGCUGCUCCGAGCGGCACAGGCUAGCGCGGUACAAAUUACAAAAAUUCAGACACCCCGUAAAGCCACAUUCACUUACUCAUGCGAUCCAAACGGCUCAGGACUCGACAUCAGACGAUAUUAUUGUAUUUUGAAAUUCGCGAAAUCAUUUCAAGAAUACUAAACUGAUAUUCUUACUGGCAGCCUACGCUUAAGUCCAUAGCCGAUGAUAAAUGCAUAGUAACACAUGGGGUGUUACAACAAUGGCUCAUGUCAGUCCACUCAUCGGACAUGAGUGUCUAAAGCAUCCUCAUGCUUCUUUCUAAGUUCUGAUUCCCUAUUAAUAGCCUUAUUAAGCAAUUGACUACCCCUUACCUCAUGGUAUGAAGGUGACCAGUAUCUAGGACCAUAUUGUUCAAUAGACUCAAAGAGAAAAUUUCCAGCUUCAAGAGUUAACCAUAUUUAAUGAUAUACCAUUCUCAGACAAGGAAUCAACUGCACAGUCAUCAACACUUUGUUUAUGUUUUUUUUGUGAGAUGCUCAAUAAUAGGUUGAGAAGUCUUAGACUUUGCCUUUCUGCAACUACUACUUCUGGUGUUCUGUAGAGCAUGGCACUAAUUGACCUGGAGGAGCAGAAACCAUAAAAGAAUUAAUAGUAGCUUGAGCAAUUUUCUUCCUUGCUUGCUUUCCUUUUGUCCCAAAAGUUGAUGACUAAAUUAUUGGCCACCCACCUUGCAGAGAUUCAAUGAGAUGGUUCUCUAAGCCAGAGUGCAUUCAUAAAAGGUCGGUUCAUUCAGACUCCAUGUUGGUCCAACAAGCCACAAAAUUCCUUCAUCAACAAAAGCAUGCACGAUUGCUUCUAGAGUUGAAUAUCACAAAGGCCUUUGACUCAUUUUCUUAGCCUUUCUUACUGGAGGUACUCCAAAAAUUGGUUUUUGGGUAGAUUUGGAGAGACAUUAUAUGUGGUCUGCUAGCUACUUCUUCCACUAAAGCCUUGGUGAACGGUCAUCCAGGCGAGAUCAUCCAACAUAGAAGAGGGUUACGACAGGGAGCUCUGCUUUCACCAAUGCUUUUUAUUCUAGUUAUGGAUGUAUUGGGAACCCUUUUCCCUAAAGUUGUGGUGGGGUUUUUGCGGCCUCUUGCAAACUGGCCAAUGCAACAUUGAGUCUCUAUAUAUUGAUGAUGUUGCCCUUUUCAUCAGUCCAUUAACUGAGGACAUAUCCAUCACUAUGGACGUUCUCCACUUAUUUGAUGAAGCAUCAGAAUUACGGAAUAAUGCCCAGAAAUCUAGUGCUUAUCCCAUACAAUGUGGUCAUUGUUGGCCCUGACCUUGCCCAGGAACUUGCUCUCCCUCGCUCACAUGCUCAUGGACGCAAGGAAGAAGAUGAAUAAUGCACUUGGUUGGGCGACAAACGUCGUCGUGACUACUCGCUUGUAUCUUAGCCUUUGAUUGAUUGAUGUACCAGAGCGGUGAUUACAGAGGGGAAUGUCGCUAUUAAUUGCCGCAACAUAGCUCUCCUUCACCACCCGACUUCCUUGCUGGUCGCCAUGGUCACACCCACGCGUUGCGGCGUGCCCGCACGACGCGCUCGCUUGCACGACAUGCACACAUGCCCAACGACUGGCAAUCUUCCUGCCACCACUCCAACAAACACUGAUCGCACCCCCUACACGUGCAUGCCUGACCCGAUCCAUCCAUGGUGCAGCUCGCCUGCCUCCCACGUGUGCCAAACUUUGGGGACACACACCAUACAUGCACGACACACACACAACACACCAACACUCACUAUUGUCGAGCUUAAUCCUAGCAAUCACCCCUCUAAGCUUGACACGACGACGCCUAGGUCUUCACAGCAGCGUAGCCUCCACUUUGUUGGCGAGGAGCGCCGCCUUCUUCCACUCGCGAUAGUGGCGAGCUAGGUGCCCGCGCUCCCCACACUCGAAGCAGCGCUCGCGGUUGUGGCCCCCAUGUCGGCAGCCCAGAGCACAUGUUGCUUGCGUCGUCGUCGCUUUCGCUAUGGUCGUUGUUGUCGUUGCCACACUGCCCAUUCCUGCCGCGUGCACGCUUCCCACGCUGGCAGUGUCGUGCCUCCAAUUGCUCCUCCGUGAGCAGCAGUCAGUAGCCUCUUUCGUGUCGUCGUUGUCUGUGCCCUCCGCCACACGCAAUCGUCGUCGUGAUGAGGUCGAGGACAUCUCAAUGGCCACGACCACCUGCUUGAGCCUCUUCAGGCUGACGGGGAGGAUCUUCUUCACGACCGGUGAUCCUCCACCUUCUCCCACAUCUCGCGCAAACUCUCGACGAGGCCGUUGAUCCGCAGCGUGAAGACGCUGACGCUCUCGCUGUCGCGGAAGCCGACACUCUCAUACUCCUUCCACAAGCACGACACACUCGCGGCCCUCACCUGACCGUCGUCGAUCCUCAUCGGCCUCACCGCCUCCCACGCUUCUUUCGUCGUCUUCGCGGCGAGCCUCGCUUUCAUGUUCGACGGCAUCGCACGCAGGAAGGCGGCCAACACCGGCCGAUCCUUGGUGUGCUCCUUGCACAAGAGCCCCACCGCCUCCCACAGCUCCAUCACCUCCAAUUAGACCUGCAUGACCAACGUCCACUCGUGGUAGUUCACCUUGGUUAGCAGUGGGAGUUUGACGGAGUUGGAGUUGAUGAUGUGUUCUGUCGCGACGUUCGAUGAGCCCACGUCGUUGAACAUCUUCAGGCCAUCCUUUGUUGGCGGCGACCCCACCCUAGCUCUGAUACCAUUUGUUGGCCCUAACCUUGCCCAGGAACCCGCUCUCCCUCGCUCACACAGCUCACAGACGCAAGGAAGAAGAUGAACAAUGCACUUGGUUGGACGACGAAUGUUGCGACGACUACUCACUUGUAGCUUAGCCUUUGAUUGAUUGUUGUACUAGAGUGGCGAUUACAUUGCGGAAUGACGCUAUUAAUAGCCACGACAUAGCUCUCCUCCACCACUUGUUAUGGCGCGCCCACGCGCUGCAUCGUGCCUGCACACCUGCAGACAUGCCCAAACAAGGUUAUUAAAACGCCAAAAAUGUUGAAACGCUCAUGGGUGGAAUUUUAAUUUUUAAACGGUUUAAACAACAUAGGUAAAUUUCAAUAUAUCAUAAUUUUAGACAAUAACAUAGUCAAAUACCAAACAACCAACAUAAGUUCACGUAAUAAUAUUGUGCAAAAUGACAUGUCCACAACCACAUUACCACAAUAGCACAAGUUCAGCUAAUAGCGAGCCGACAACCACAAACAAAGUGCAAUGAGAUGUCUAGUAGUUCACAAUCACAAACAUAGCACAAAAGCAACUAAAGUGGAAUGCAAUGUCCACAACCACAAGCACACAAGUGUUACUCAAGCACUCAAUAACCAUCAUCCAAAUCAUCUAAAGUAACAUCAUCCUUGUCUUGCUCAUCAGCACAACCACCACUGUUGUUUGUUGCUUCUUCAUCAUCCAUGUCAAGGUCAUCAAGCACAAAAUUUUCAUCGUCUUCAUUCUCUUCACCCACAUCAAGCCCAUCUUCAUCAUCAUCAAGAAUUGGCUACCAUGAGCUCUCCUAGGAAAGUUGUGGCCUCGAAGUUGUGUGGAUGCACCGACGACAUGAUCAACAUGCAUUGCUCUGAUAGUUAAGAGGACACCAAUAGAAUAGUACUCCACUGAAAUAAUGGGCUAAUGAUUUAUGAUUGUGUAGUUCCUUCUUUUUUUUUUUUCUGAAAUACGCAGGAGAGCUGCGCAUCUUUGUAUUAAUAGAAGAAAAGAAAGGGGGAGAGAACCCCGAUACAGCACACACACCACUAGAGACUAACUACGGACCUUCAGUUUCUGAACUAUGUGAUGCUAGAAGCUAGUUGCACUUUGGAACCGUUGCAGUGAUGCCGUUUUCCAAAGCCAGCAACCAACGUCUGCUCAUACUUCAUACCCUUCUCGCUUUCUGAACUAGUUUAUGUGUUCAUAUGUAAAAGUAAAACUGUAGAAGAUAUUAUUAAGGUGUAAGCUUUUAUAUCACUGGAUGUAAUAUUAUCACAGCCAGACCUUCACAUUUAGUUGUUAAAGUAAGGUUCGGUUGUGCGCGAUCAAGUUUGCAUAUGGCAGGGGCAGAUAUAGUAUAGGUGUUUGAGGGUACAGGUACAAGCGGAGCAGAACAGGCUCCACUUAAUUAAUUCAUUAAGGGUAACAAUGAAGCAAGAAACUAAUAUGCUUAUGGAGACAUCGGCAAUGACUACCUUUGCAUACUUGCAAAGUUGGUGAAUUGUAUCCUUAUAUCCGCAAACCUAACUAUUUUUUGUCAUAUUAAGGGUUUGUUUGGUUCUUUAGUCUAGGACCUAAAGUUUAGUUAAGGGACUAAAAGUUAGUCUCUACUCUGUUUGGUUUUAGGACUAAAAUUAUUCGGAACACAUUAAAUGAAUCAUAAGAGGACCAAAAUACUCCUUAGCAUUCUCACGUCAUUAGUUCAAAUAAAGGAGAGACAAAAAGUGGAAUUUAUAUUGUUUAGUCUCUUUUAGUCACCCUUUGAGGGACUAGAGACAAACAGUUUAGUCCCACCGUUUGACAAUUUAGUGACUAAAUGAGACUAAAAUGGAGGGACUAAUCUUUAGUCCCUUAAACCAAACGGGUCCUAAAUUGUUAGCGUAUUGCAUCGUUUAGGUCCAUGCCCCCAUGAUUGAAAUCAUGUAUCUGCCACUAGCAUAUGGCCAUAACCACAGUUGUUUCCAUUUUUCCUAUGCAGUACUUAGGUCUCCAAGGAAAUACCUUAAAAUGUCCUCUACCCUAUAUUUAGAGAAGAUUCCAUCUUCUAUAGUCUAUACGCUCCAACAGUAUCACUCUAAAUAUAGGAGACGCUGCUCCAUCCUCUGCUCUAUCUAUUUUUAUACUUUAGACAACAGAUUAAGCAAAACUAAAAAAAUGUGUAAGACAUUUAAGGGUAUGACAAAUACAGACGUACAAAAAACUAGAGCAAAAUAUUUCUAAUAUAAGUAUUUAACUAUAUAGAAUAUAAAAGAGAGAUGAGAUAUAGAGAAGAAAAUAUUUUAGAGGAGUUUGUAAAGGAGGGGAUGUAGAGGAUAUGAGAGGGGAUAUAGAGGAUGUGGUGUAUCCUUCUCAAUGGAUGCCAAUUGGUACUUGAUAGUGAAUGUAUGGGUCUGUUUGGUUUAGCUUUUUUCUUAGGAUCUUUUUUGAGAAUAUAGCUGUGAGGAGAGAAUUUGGCUGUGGAGAUAAUCUGAGUAUUGUGGAGAUUACGUGAGGAGGAAGAUAAAAAAAAAUCAUAAGAUUUAUGAUGUAGAAAGUGACAGUUUUCUACUAUCGCAACGACUCGACCGAUUCUGUGUUCACGUUGAUUUUACACGGUUUUGUCUAAAGUGAUUUUCAUAAAAGCGGGUUGAGCGUUUAGCCGACUGCAACAGCUUCUAGUGGUCAGAAGCUCAAAACAGCUUAAACAAAUAGGGUCUAUGUUGGAAAGUGAGAAUCUACCAUUCUGCUUAUGGACUCCACCAGGUAACAUAUCUUUGUAAUAGAGAUAUGUUCUGUCAAUCUUUGCAUAUAUAAGUUUUAUGAGAUGUGCAACGAUUUAGCUUAUCAUGUGUUUUCUUUUCUUAUUAUUAGGAGCGGGAGAGAGAUGGCGCGAUUGGCGAACGGAGGAUGUAGAUGCAGAGGUUUGUCGCAUGUCUGUAAAUUGUACAUGAAAGGUGGUAGAUUUUGAUUGGAAUUUUGUAGGGCGUAGCAUAUCAGGUGUUCGUAUCCAAUCUAAUUUGCUUUCUGUGUGAAGUGGAAAACAUCAAAGAAAUUGUAAAAAACAGAGAAUUAUUUUUUUUAUGUAAAUGAGCAUUCUCGUUGAACUUUAACCCCAUUUGUUGUUAAUGAGGAUGGGGCGCUAUUGGG
rnacentral:lncRNA from 1 species